UACCAGCACCCCGAGUGGUCGGGACGUUUUAUUGGGCCUAAAGCAUCCGUAGCCGGUUCUACAAGUCUUCCGUUAAAUCCACCUGCUUAACAGAUGGGCUGCGGAAGAUACUAUAGAGCUAGGAGGCGGGAGAGGCAAGCGGUACUCGAUGGGUAGGGGUAAAAUCCGUUGAUCCAUUGAAGACCACCAGUGGCGAAGGCGGCUUGCCAGAACGCGCUCGACGGUGAGGGAUGAAAGCUAGGGGAGCAAACCGGG
rnacentral:rRNA from 1 species